rnacentral:rRNA from 1 species
UAGGGAAUAUUGCACAAUGGGCGAAAGCCUGAUGCAGCAACGCCGCGUGCACGAUGAAGGCCUUCGGGUCGUAAAGUGCUUUUUGAGGAGACGAGGAAGGACGGUAUCCUCAGAAUAAGGAUCGGCUAACUACGUGCCAGCAGCCGCGGUAAAACGUAGGAUCCGAGCGUUAUCCGAAUUCACUGGGCGUAAAGCGCGUGCAGGCGGUUCGGUAAGUUGGAUGUAAAAUCUCCUGGCUCAACUAGGAGAGGACGUUCAAGACUGUCGGACUAGAGGACGGCAGAGGAAGGUGGAAUUCCCGGUGUAGUGGUGAAAUGCGUAGAUAUCGGGAGGAACACCAGUGGCGAAGGCGGCCUUCUGGGCCGUACCUGACGCUCAGACGCGAAAGCUAGGGGAGCAAACG